AUCAGAUUGAGGAAAAAAGAAUUAAGAUAAAUUAUGUACAGGUAUAAAUUCCCUAUGAUGAAUGUGAUCAUUACAUAUAUCCAAAAUGUACCAAUAAAAUUACUUAAAAAGAAGAAAAAAUACAUGUAUUAGUCUAGCUAGCUAUGCUUAUCUUCUUAUAAAGAAGGUUUUAAUGUAUCAAACAAUUUAUAAUAUUCACCCAUUUAUUUAUUUAUUAAGGUCCUAUGUGUCACUCUACUCCCAUAGAGGAAAGCAAACAAAAAUUAAAUGAAAAAUUAAGUAUGUUAGAUGUUAUUAACUGCUUGGUUGAGACAAUAAAGUAGGUAAGGGGGAUUGGUAGUUCAUAUAGAUGUGAAUAGGUGUUCAUAUAGAAUAGAUAGUUCAUAUAGAAUAAGUAGUUCAUAUAGAUGUGAAGAGGAGCUCUAAGGUGGCUAUUUUAGUAUGGCUGGGAAAGGCCUGAGCAUAUAUAAGCAUACAAUGAAUGCCCUAAAUAUGAUGGAUCAGGAGGCAUGGGAAUGGAGAGAGCCAUAGGAUGGGAGGGAGACAGACAGUCAUCGGGAGCAAGAGUGAUCCAGGCAGAGCAAUCAGCAUAUUCCCAGGCCCUGAGUCAGAGACAUGCUUGAUGUACUUAAGGAAAGGAAGGUGACUAGUAGGAUUACACUAGGUCAGGACCUUCAGGAUUAACUCCCCUCUUGAAUAAACAGGGAGGGGAAAGGAGACCAGAAGGAGAGUCUACAGAGAAGCAUUGAAGAUUAAAGAAGCAGGAACACAGAAUUAAGAGUAGUUUGGACCAUUAUGAACAGCCAGAUUCUAAGUCACCUAGACAACAGGUGCACCCUCAGGAACAGUGGGAUAGAGGCUGAGAGAAAAGUGAGAAUCACAUCUGGGAACAGGUGCAGCCAGGAUGCCAGCCCAGGUCUUGCUCAAGCCUCAUGGAGGUCCACAAAAGCAGAGUGGCUCAUCAGUGGCAGUGCGGAUGGGUGUUACCUGGGAGCUGGUUAGAUAUGACAGUUUGAGACUCCACCUUGGGUCUCCUGCAUCUGCACUUCCUCAAGGUCCCCAGGCAAUUCUCAUACACAUUAAUUUGGGAGGUGCUGCUGCAUCCUGCUGCACUGAAGAUCCAGAGAACUGCAUCAGGACCAAAAGAAUCAUUGGCAGUUGGAAAAGGCAAGGACAACAUGGAACAAUACUUCCAGAGUGGGCUUCCACAGUCAAUACUUGGACAUCUGAAAAAGAGAGAGAAAUGACAUGAAAAUAGAAAGAGAAAAAGGAUCAAGGGAGGAGGAAAAGAAGAGGUAAGUGGGGGAAAUGAUCAAACUAUGUUUCAUUAAUGUAUGAAUAUGCCAAGAUGAAAACCACUAGUGUGUAUAAUAAUAUGCACUAAUUUUAAAAAGUCACUACUUUAAAUAUUCUAUUUUUUUCCUUUCACAGUUGAAAAUCUUCAAGUGUUGGUUAUAAAGACUGCCUGAACUACCUAUCCACUAAUAACUUGGUUCUUAUGUCUGAUAUAAGCUUA
rnacentral:lncRNA from 1 species